rnacentral:rRNA from 1 species
CAGCAGCCGCGGUAAUACGUAGGGCGCAAGCGUUGUCCGGAAUUAUUGGGCGUAAAGAGCUCGUAGGCGGUCUGUCGCGUCUGGUGUGAAAUCCCGAGGCUCAACCUCGGGCUUGCAUCGGGUACGGGCAGACUAGAGUGCGGUAGGGGAGACUGGAAUUCCUGGUGUAGCGGUGGAAUGCGCAGAUAUCAGGAGGAACACCGAUGGCGAAGGCAGGUCUCUGGGCCGCAACUGACGCUGAGGAGCGAAAGCAUGGGGAGCGAACAGGAUUAGAUACCCGCGUAGUCCUUGUCUCUUAUAC